GCACGGACUGGACUACGAGCCCUAUUUCUUCUUUUCUGAAAGGUAAGCCCAGGUUGGUUUAUUUGGGCCAUCGGAUCACCAUGCUGCCUUGGUUAGCUUAGGCCAUAGCUAGCUCCACACCAUCUUUUAUCUAGGUGCAAUUUGAUUACUCAAAGAGAAGGCAAGGAAGAAGAAGGGGAGAGAACUUGGUCUCUUUUUAAAAUUUCAUGGUCCACCUAAUAUGAUGAUUUUUGAAAUAUUCAGAAUUUUCGG
rnacentral:lncRNA from 1 species